UGCCCCAUGGCUAAGUUGGUUACAGCGUCCGACUGUUAGGCACUUGUCACACAUUGUCACAUGCUUAUGUAAUCGGAAGGUCGUGAGUUCAAUCCUCACUGGGGCAG
rfam:Phlebiopsis gigantea 11061_1 CR5-6 unplaced genomic scaffold PHLGIscaffold_206, whole genome shotgun sequence.